rnacentral:sRNA from 1 species
GCAGUCCAACUCCAAACUUGAAGUGCAGAUCAAGCAGUGGUACGAAACCAACGCCCCGAGGGCUGGUCGCGACUACAGUGCAUAUUACAGACAAAUUGAAGAGCUGCGAAAUCAGAUUAAGGAUGCUCAACUGCAAAAUGCUCGGUGUGUCCUGCAAAUUGAUAAUGCUAAACUGGCUGCUGAGGACUUCAGACUGAAGUAGGUUCCCUAAUGCGUGGCAAAAGUUUCUGAAAAAGAAUUCCUUUAGUAGUCCUUCCAGAUACUCGGCUUUCCAUAUCAUUGUUGAUAAAGGAAGCACGGUUCAACG